rnacentral:rRNA from 1 species
UACGUAGGGUGCAAGCGUUGUCCGGAAUUAUUGGGCGUAAAGAGCUCGUAGGCGGCUUGUCGCGUCGUUCGUGAAAACCCACAGCUCAACUGUGGGCUUGCGGUCGAUACGGGCAGGCUCGAGUUCGGUAGGGGAGACUGGAAUUCCUGGUGUAGCGGUGAAAUGCGCAGAUAUCAGGAGGAACACCGGUGGCGAAGGCGGGUCUCUGGGCAACAACUGACGCUGAGGAGCGAAAGCGUGGGGAGCGAACGGG